AACGAACGCUGGCGGCAGGCCUAACACAUGCAAGUCGAGCGAGAUCUUCGGGUCUAGCGGCGGACGGGUGAGUAACGCGUGGGAAUAUGCCUCUUGGUACGGAAUAGCCUCGGGAAACUGGGAGUAAUACCGUAUGUGCCCUUUGGGGGAAAGAUUUAUCGCCAAGAGAUUAGCCCGCGUUGGAUUAGGUAGUUGGUGGGGUAAUGGCCUACCAAGCCGACGAUCCAUAGCUGGUUUGAGAGGAUGAUCAGCCACACUGGGACUGAGACACGGCCCAGACUCCUACGGGAGGCAGCAGUGGGGAAUCGUAGACAAUGGGGGCAACCCUGAUCGAGCCAUGCCGCGUGAGUGAUGAAGGCCUUAGGGUUGUAAAGCUCUUUCAGCUGGGAAGAUAAUGACGGUACCAGCAGAAGAAGCCCCGGCUAACUCCGUG
rnacentral:rRNA from 1 species